rnacentral:rRNA from 1 species
UACGUAGGGUGCGAGCGUUAAUCGGAAUUACUGGGCGUAAAGGGUGCGCAGGCGGAUAUAUAAGUUAGAUGUGAAAUUCCCGAGCUUAACUUGGGGGCUGCAUUUAAGACUGUAUGUCUAGAGUUUGUGAGAGGGGGGUAGAAUUCCGAGUGUAGCAGUGAAAUGCGUAGAGAUUUGGAGGAAUACCGAUGGCGAAGGCAGCCCCCUGGCAUAGAACUGACGCUCAUGCACGAAAGCGUGGGUAGCAAACAGG